rnacentral:rRNA from 1 species
GACGUAGGGGGCGAGCGUUGUCCGGAUUCAUUGGGCGUAAAGCGCGCGUAGGCGGCUGCGCAAGUCGGUUGUGAAAUUCCGGGGCUCAACCCCGGAACUGCGUCCGAUACUGCGUGGCUAGAGGUAGGUAGGGGAGAUCGGAAUUCCUGGUGUAGCGGUGAAAUGACGCAGAUAUCAGGAGGAACACCGGUGGCGAAGGCGGAUCUCUGGGCCUUACCUGACGCUCAGGCGCGAAAGCUAGGGGAGCGAACAGG